AGUGAACGCUGGCGGCAGGCCUAACACAUGCAAGUCGAACGGCAGCACGGCAGUAGCAAUACUGUGGGUGGCGAGUGGCGGACGGGUGAGGAAUACAUCGGGAUCUACCCUGUUGUGGGGGAUAACGUAGGGAAACUUACGCUAAUACCGCAUAAGAACUGAGGUUGAAAGCGGCGGACCGCAAGGCGUCGCGCGAUUGGAUGAACCGAUGUCCGAUUAGCUAGUUGGCGGGGUAAAGGCCUACCAAGGCGACGAUCGGUAGCUGGUCUGAGAGGACGACCAGCCACACUGGAACUGAGACACGGUCCAGACUCCUACGGGAGGCAGCAGUGGGGAAUAUUGGACAAUGGGCGCAAGCCUGAUCCAGCCAUGCCGCGUGGGUGAAGAAGGCCUCGGUUGUAAGACC
rnacentral:rRNA from 1 species